rnacentral:rRNA from 1 species
CCUACGGGGGGCAGCAGUAGGGAAUAUUGCUCAAUGGGGGAAACCCUGAAGCAGCAACGCCGCGUGGAGGAUGAAGGUUUUCGGAUUGUAAACUCCUUUUGUUAGAGAAGAUAAUGACGGUAUCUAACGAAUAAGCACCGGCUAACUCCGUGCCAGCAGCCGCGGUAAUACGGAGGGUGCAAGCGUUACUCGGAAUCACUGGGCGUAAAGGGCGCGUAGGCGGGAUAGCAAGUCAGAUGUGAAAUCCUAUGGCUUAACCAGAGAACUGCAUUUGAAACUGUUAUUCUAGAGUAUGGGAGAGGUAGGUGGAAUGCUUGGUGUAGGGGUAAAAUCCGUAGAGAUCAAGAGGAAUACUCAUUGCGAAGGCGACCUGCUAGAACAUAACUGACGCUGAUGCGCGAAAGCGUGGGGGGCAAACAGGAUUAGAUACCCGAGUAGUC